CAUCGAAUCUUUGAACGCACAUUGCGCUCCCUGGUAUUCCGGGGAGCAUGCCUGUUUGAGAAUCAGUAAAAUCCUCAUGACUUCUGUUUGAGAGUGACGGAAUCGGCUUAGGCUGAGACUUUCCUUUUGAGCAGUAGUCUGGAAAAUGGACCGUUGAU
rnacentral:rRNA from 1 species